rnacentral:rRNA from 1 species
GAUGAACGCUGGCGGCGUGCUUAACACAUGCAAGUCGAGCGAAGCACUUUGGAAAGAUUCUUCGGAUGAUUUCCUUUGUGACUGAGCGGCGGACGGGUGAGUAACGCGUGGGUAACCUGCCUCAUACAGGGGGAUAACAGUUAGAAAUGACUGCUAAUACCGCAUAAGACCACGGUACCGCAUGGUACAGUGGUAAAAACUCCGGUGGUAUGAGAUGGACCCGCGUCUGAUUAGGUAGUUGGUGGGGUAACGGCCUACCAAGCCGACGAUCAGUAGCCGACCUGAGAGGGUGACCGGCCACAUUGGGACUGAGACACGGCCCAGACUCCUACGGGAGGCAGCAGUGGGGAAUAUUGCACAAUGGAGGAAACUCUGAUGCAGCGACGCCGCGUGAAGGAUGAAGUAUUUCGGUAUGUAAACUUCUAUCAGCAGG